rnacentral:rRNA from 1 species
AGAGUUUGAUCAUGGCUCAGGACGAACGCUGGCGGCGUGCUUAACACAUGCAAGUGGAGCGACGAACCAGGGCUUGCCCUGGGGCAGAGCCGCGAACGGGUGAGUAACACGUGGGUUACCUGCCUCGAUGACCGGGACAACCCGAGGAAACUCGGGCUAAUACCGGAUGUGCCCGCAAGGGGAAAGGAAGCUUCGGCCUCCGCAUCGAGAUGGGCCCGCGGCCCAUUAGCUUGUUGGUGAGGUAACGGCUCACCAAGGCUUCGAUGGGUAGCUGGUCUGAGAGGACGAUCAGCCACACUGGGACUGAGACACGGCCCAGACUCCUACGGGAGGCAGCAGUGGGGAAUCUUGCGCAAUGCGCGAAAGCGUGACGCAGCAACGCCGCGUGGGGGAAGACGGCUUUCGGGUUGUAAACCCCUUUCAGUUGGGACGAAGCCUCGGCGGUGAACAGCCGUACGAGGUGACGGUACCUUCACAAGAAGCACCGGCUAACUACGUGCCAGCAGCCGCGGUAAUACGUAGGGUGCAAGCGUUGUCCGGAAUUAUUGGGCGUAAAGAGCGUGUAGGCGGCCCGACCAGCCCGCUGUGAAAGUCCAGGGCUCAACCCUGGAAUGCCGGUGGAUACUGUCGGGCUAGAGUCCGGAAGGGGCGAGUGGAAUUCCUGGUGUAGCGGUGAAAUGCGCAGAUAUCAGGAGGAACACCAAUGGCGAAGGCAGCUCGCUGGGACGUGACUGACGCUGAGACGCGAAAGCGUGGGGAGCAAACAGGAUUAGAUACCCCGGUAGUCC